rnacentral:rRNA from 1 species
UUUACAACAAUGAAAACGAGUUUCCAAAACCUUUCAUAUUUAGAAAAAGCUUUAAAUAAAUUAGAAAUUGUACACCAAAAACAGACAUCUGAACGUGGUACUACAAAAUCAAAUUUAGUUAUCCGUCAAUCUAAUGGUUAUGAUAUUGAAUUUGCUUGGAACGGUCAAGAAUAUGAGUUAAUAGUUGAUAUGAGUUUUUGGGAACAAACUUGUCCUGUGGAAAGUUUUAUUGAUAAAGUUGCUCAGCAUUAUGCUGGUGAAGUUAUUGUUGGUGAAAGUCAAAAACUAGGAUUCCAGCCGGUAAAAUACCAACAAAAUGAAGACGGAUCCAAUACUGUAGUAUUAGAACGUUGGAAUGAACGAAGCUAAUUAGAUUGUAUCAGCUCAAUAAAUCCAUAAAAGGGAUUUUGUUUUUUUCUUCUAUUUACCUAAUAAUAAUUUUAAAUUUAUAAGCAUUGUUAGGUGAAUAGUUUUUAUAGAUAAUUAUUAAAACCUAAAGACAUUAUAUAAGAGAAACAAGGAAAAAUCAAAUAUUUUUCAAUUUUUCCCUGUAAUCUUUUAAGCUUAAGGUUCUUAACGUGACAAACGUUGAAGUUGUUGAAUAGCUAAAGUGCCGAUGUUGAUUAACGCCCAAGUUGCUGCUGUUAGUAAAGGAAGAGCAAUUAUAAGUAAACGAGUAUCCAUAGCUGAAAAUCCUCUAUAAAUAUUAAAAAUUUAAAUACAGAAAAUGAUAUUAAUGAAUAAUAUUAUAAUCCACAUUAUAGUUCAUAUUAUAUAAUAAUAUUAGAAAUAUUUAUUAUCUAUAUCUUCUUAUCUUAUCCAUUUUCUGACUAAAUUUUAUUGAGAAUUAGACCUAAUAUAGGGUAGCAAUACUCAAUACUAAAAAAACGAUUAGAGAUUUAGUUUAAUUAAAACUUUGGCAUUGAGCUAUCUUCCCAGGAGGUCCCCCCCCAAGUAUUGUCGCCGAUUUAUAACGUUUCACAGCUGAGUUCGAGAUGGAUCAGCGUGGUUCCGUUCAGUACACUAGAAACACCAAAGCAAAAAUCUUUAAAGUAAUUGUACUUUAAAGAUAUAGGAUAUUUUUAAGAAAGUCUUUCUUAAAAAUAUCUUUUAAAAAUUCAAGUCCUCGGUCUGUUAGGACAUCUCAGCACAUACAUUACUGUACUUACACUUAAUGCCUAUUAAACGGUUAGUCUUACCGUGACCUUACUCACUUUCGUGAUGAGAAUACUCAUCUUGAGGUGGGCUUCCCACUUAGAUGCUUUCAGCGGUUAUCCACUCCAUACUUAGCUACCCAGCGUUUACCGUUGGCACGAUAACUGGUACACCAUAGGUAUGUCCUUCUCGGUCCUCUCGUACUAAAGAAGGCUCCUCUCAAUAUUCUAACGCCUACACCGGAUAUGGACCGAACUGUCUCACGACGUUCUGAACCCAGCUCGCGUACCGCUUUCAUGGGCGAACAGCCCAACCCUUGGGACGU